AGAGACAGCAGUAGCCGCGGUAAUACGUAGGUCCCGAGCGUUGUCCGGAUUUAUUGGGCGUAAAGGGAGCGCAGGCGGUUUAGUAAGUCUGAAGUUAAAGGCAUUGGCUCAACCAAUGUAUGCUUUGGAAACUGUUAGACUUGAGUGCAGAAGGGGAGAGUGGAAUUCCAUGUGUAGCGGUGAAAUGCGUAGAGAUGUGGAGGAACACCAGUGGCGAAGGCGACUCUCUGGUCUGUAACUGACGCUGAGGAGCGAAAGCGUGGGGAGCGAACAGGAUUAGAUACCCGAGUAGUCCCUGUCUCUUAUACA
rnacentral:rRNA from 1 species